UAUUUCUCUUCUGCAGACCAAUCAAUAGGAAAAGAUACUAAAUCUAUGUCUACAGUCACACUACCUGGGAUGCACUCAAUUCCUUCUAAAUCUACUCUCAUUAGUUGCAAAGACCCUGACUAAGAACUUCAAGAAUUCUAGAAGACUAACCAAGGACUUGGCAAGUCCACAAUAACACAAUUAUCCUGAACAAAUAUUCUGCAUAAUUAUGAAUUAUUAGAAGGAAAGCCCCAGUGAUCUUUUCAAGAGGAAGACAAACCUGGAGGAAAUGAUUUCUCAGAAGAAAAAAGGAAAAUUUGCAGGAAAAAGAAAAAGAAAGAAACCUGAGUGAUUAACUCAUCCUGCACAGCUCCAUAAUCACCACACAGGACCAAGUUCUUUCUCUCACAUCAUCAUCUUGAACAUCUCUUCAACCUUCUAAGAAUCUUUACGUAGACAAUAUGUGAUCAGUGAGAACUUUUUUGAAUCAAUGUCUGGAGAGAAUCGAUGAUGCGAAAAGCUAGCAGCAAAGAAUGAAGAACUGGAAAAUGCAGCAUUCUGACUGGACACAAAAUUGUGCUCACAGAACUGCCAUGGAGGUAAAACAAACAAAAUAAUGUCUGCCACAGUCUCCUACGAUAACUGAGUUAGGUAUCCACGCUACUCCACAUUCAGCAUGGUGUGCCCUUCACCGAUGCCUUGUACAGGGCACUGGAGGCGGGGUAAGGUUGGAUAGAUGCAGACAAGUGAUCAUAUACUGUGUUGGGAGUUCUCCUGUGAACUAGGAAGUUUCAGGGAGCCCCACUGGGGCUUUAAGCAAGACUUGCACUUUGGAUCCAUGAUGCACAGCUAUGGGAAUAAUGGAUCCUGAGGGGUAUAAAGCUAAUGUCUGGGAGGUUACUAGGUAGCUGCUUCAGGAAUGAAGAAGAUGACCACAAAUAUCUGUACCAAAGGAGAAACUGUAAUAAAGGAUGCAGGUACAAAUAGUCCACAACCAUUUACAUGAUAGCACCCGUGGGCCUCAGAGAUGGGUGUGAAGAGAGGAGAGGCAGGAGCUGAGGCUGAUACAUAGGGAUGGCCUGGGCACAUGGGUACCACCAAGUGAAAUAGUAAAUAGAGGAUGCUAGUUAAGGGCUGAUCUGCAUCACUGUGUAAGCCCUGCUGCAGAUAACCCCUUCUACGGUCACCAAGGUUUCCCAAUGAGAUCCCAUUAUAAGUAGGACGGAUUUCGGGUGAUCUCAAAUUAGAGACGUUACUGCAUGUAUGUUCAAGUUCAGUUUAUACAUAUGAGUUAACAACACUGCUUUUCUAAACA